rnacentral:rRNA from 1 species
GACGAACGCUGGCGGCGUGCCUAUACAUGCAAGUAGAACGCUGAAGGAAGGAGCUUGCUCUUUCCGGAUGAGUUGCGAACGGGUGAGUAACGCGUAGGUGACCUGCCUGGUAGCGGGGGAUAACUAUUGGAAACGAUAGCUAAUACCGCAUAACAGUAGAUAUCGCAUGAUAUUUGCUUGAAAGGUGCAAUUGCACCACUACCCAGAUGGACCUGCGUUGUAUUAGCUAGUUGGUGAGGUAACGGCUCACCAAGGCAACGAUACAUAGCCGACCUGAGAGGGUGAUCGGCCACACUGGGACUGAGACACGGCCCAGACUCCUACGGGAGGCAGCAGUAGGGAAUCUUCGGCAAUGGACGGAAGUCUGACCGAGCAACGCCGCGUGAGUGAAGAAGGUUUUCGGAUCGUAAAGCUCUGUUGUAAGAGAAGAACGAGUGUGAGAGUGGAAAGUUCACACUGUGACGGUAUCUUACCAGAAAGGGACGGCUAACUACGUGCCAGCAGCCGCGGUAAUACGUAGGUCCCGAGCGUUGUCCGGAUUUAUUGGGCGUAAAGCGAGCGCAGGCGGUUAGAUAAGUCUGAAGUUAAAGGCUGUGGCUUAACCAUAGUACGCUUUGGAAACUGUUUAACUUGAGUGCAAGAGGGGAGAGUGGAAUUCCAUGUGUAGCGGUGAAAUGCGUAGAUAUAUGGAGGAACACCAGUGGCGAAAGCGGCUCUCUGGCUUGUAACUGACGCUGAGGCUCGAAAGCGUGGGGAGCAAACAGG